rnacentral:tRNA from 1 species
CAAGAAAUAGUUUAUUUAAAAUAUUAAUUUUGGAGAUUAAUGAAAAGGAAAAANUCUUUUUUCUUGA